rnacentral:lncRNA from 1 species
AUUUUCAUUACUUUUUUCCUUUUGGGUAAAGGUGAGGGAACAGGCAUGGUAGUAGCGGAUAAAAUUUGUACAGUUUCCUGUACUAUUUUUUGGGAAUAAAUCCAGAUUUAGAGAUCAGGGUGGGCAGCAUGACAUAUUUGGGGAGUGUUGGAAUUGAACAUGUAUGUAACAGGUUCCAUUAGAUUAAAAGACUGUCUUUUUCUUUCUUGUCAACACAGGAUUUAUAUCUUUGUUAGUAUUGAUUUUUUGUUUGUUAAAAGGAAGAAGUCAUUCAGAAGACUAGAUGAAUAUAGCUUAGUUUAAAUAAAUUAUUCUCAGAUGAUACAAAGACAACAAAUGAAGACACUCCAGGACAUGGAAAGAUGGCUUACCAAAGGCUGAUUAUAUUUGACAAAACUAGUACAUUUUUUGGUAAUUCCUUUUGUAAGCAAAGGAAGCGUCAUGUAUUUUUCAAUAAUUAUUUCACUUGAAGAUCUUUUAGUUAAACUCGACUUCAGAAGAAAUGUAUAGAAGAGGAUGAACAAGGCAGUGGGGAGAAGGCACUGAAAAAGAAGCAGCCUGUAUGCAGACAUUACUUCGGAACGCUUUGCAAAGUGUUGAUCAUCAUUUAUGUGAUGUUGCAAAUUUUAAUCUUGGUGUUUUCACUUGAGUCAUUGAAGUACAAGGAAAAAGCUGUGAAAGUAUGCAUCUUCUUGAUUGUUCUCAGAUUUACAUGCGUAAAGUAGAAAAUAAGAAGAGAAGAUGUUUAAACAUCCCUGAAAUAAUCCAAGGAUGCCCUGAAAUUUCCGAGCACAAGUGGGUUUGGGCUAGAAAGGAGGAGAAAAGGAAGGAAAACCACUGCAGGAGGAAUCUUUGCAAGCUAUGCCAGUGUUGUUCAGUUGUGGUGGAAUAACCCUUUGUAGCACCAGGAUCCUCAUAAAUGCCAAUCAGAUGUUUAAAGAGACUCAGCAAAGAAAUAAAUCAUGGAAGAGGGAAGAAUGGGGAAAGUGA